UAAAAAUAUUAUGGUUCUGGUCUGGUCUUGGUUUUCGGCUUUUUUACCUAACUCCUACUAUCCUAAAAUUCCCAUGGCUCUUUCAUCUAAAUGUUUCUUCUCAUCCUUGCUUUGUGUAGCUUUAAGAUAUAAACAGAGGACUCCAUAAAGACAGAUGAUUGAAUGACUCAGCUUGGGGCCAAGGUUACUAUUGGUGGUGCGUGCCUUGUGGCUCAGACAAGAUCUCCCUAAAUCCUAAGUUGUCCAGAUGGUGCUCUAACUUGUGAUCCCCCUGCCUGGGCCUCCCAGAGUGCUGAGAUUAUAAACAUGCUUCACCAUGCUUAAACAUUCGCACCUUUCCAGGCAUACUGUCAAGCAUAUUAGAAAUAAAGCCUGAGACGCCAUGUUCAGGCUUAACUCACCAUCACGGAAACUGGAGCCUGCC